rnacentral:tRNA from 2 species
GCUAGCGUAGCUCAGUUGGCAGAGCAGCUGAUUUGUAAUCAGCCGGUCGUGGGUUCGAAUCCCUCCGCUAGCU